rnacentral:rRNA from 1 species
UCGAGCGCCCAGCAUGGGAGCGGCAGACGGGUGAGUAACGCGUGGGGAUGUACCCAAUGGUACGGAAUAACCCAUGGAAACUUGGAUUAAUACCGUAUGAGCCCUUCGGGGGAAAGAUUUAUCGCCAUUGGAUCAACCCGCGUCGGAUUAGCUAGUUGGUGAGGUAAAGGCUCACCAAGGCGACGAUCCGUAGCUGGUCUGAGAGGAUGAUCAACCACACUGGGACUGAGACACGGCCCACACUCCUACGGGAGGCAGCAGUGGGGAAUAUUGCACAAUGGGCGCAAGCCUGAUCCAUCCAUGCCGCGUGAGUGAUGAAGGCCUUAGGGUUGUAAAGCUCUUUCGCCGGUGAAGAUAAUGACGGUCACCUUAGAAGAAGCCCCGGCUAACUUC